rnacentral:rRNA from 1 species
UGUUUAUUUACCUCGUUGCUUCGGCGGGCCCGCCUUAACUGGCCGCCGGGGGGCUCACGCCCCCGGGCCCGCGCCCGCCGAAGACACCCCCGAACUCUGCCUGAAGAUUGUCGUCUGAGUGAAAAUAUAAAUUAUUUAAAACUUUCAACAACGGAUCUCUUGGUUCCGGCAUCGAUGAAGAACGCAGCGAAAUGCGAUACGUAAUGUGAAUUGCAAAUUCAGUGAAUCAUCGAGUCUUUGAACGCACAUUGCGCCCCCUGGUAUUCCGGGGGGCAUGCCUGUCCGAGCGUCAUUGCUGCCCUCAAGCCCGGCUUGUGUGUUGGGCCCCGUCCUCCGAUUCCGGGGGACGGGCCCGAAAGGCAGCGGCGGCACCGCGUCCGGUCCUCGAGCGUAUGGGGCUUUGUCACCCGCUCUGUAGGCCCGGCCGGCGCUUGCCGAUCAACCCAAAUUUUUAUCCAGGUUGACCUCGGAUCAGGUAGGGAUACCCGCUGAACUUAAGCAUA